rnacentral:rRNA from 1 species
GAUGAACGCUGGCGGCGUGCCUAACACAUGCAAGUCGAGCGAACAGACGAGGAGCUUGCUCCUCUGACGUUAGCGGCGGACGGGUGAGUAACACGUGGAUAACCUACCUAUAAGACUGGGAUAACUUCGGGAAACCGGAGCUAAUACCGGAUAAUAUAUUGAACCGCAUGGUUCAAUAGUGAAAGACGGUUUUGCUGUCACUUAUAGAUGGAUCCGCGCCGCAUUAGCUAGUUGGUAAGGUAACGGCUUACCAAGGCAACGAUGCGUAGCCGACCUGAGAGGGUGAUCGGCCACACUGGAACUGAGACACGGUCCAGACGCCUACGGGAGGCAGCAGUAAGGAAUCUUCCGCAAUGGGCGAAAGCCUGACGGAGCAACGCCGCGUGAGUGAUGAAGGUCUUCGGAUCGUAAAACUCUGUUAUUAGGGAAGAACAAAUGUGUAAGUAACUAUGCACGUCUUGACGGUACCUAAUCAGAAAGCCACGGCUAACUACGUG